AGACAUGUAACUUACUCCAGAGACGCACUAACUUGCACAGCAUUGAAUGGAAAAGGCUUUGUCCAUGUCCAGUUGAGGGGCAUCAAGAACACGCAGAUGGCCUAAACCUGUGUCAGCCUGGACAGACUGCAGUUCUGCUACUCCAUGCCAAGGCUUUUGUUUUCUGGAAGCUCCAUUUGAGGGCAUCAAGGACAUACUGAUGGCCUAAACCAGUGUCAGCCUAGACAGACAGACAUCUAUUGCAGUUCUGCUACACAAGACCAAACUCUCUGCUUUUGUAUGGAUGUCUGACUAGUACGGUGUUCUCUAAAGGUGUAACUGGAGCAAAACAACAGCACCCGUUACAGUGAAAUUUGUGUUCAUAAAAGAUAGUGAUAUAUCAGGUAUAGUAACAGGUCCAGUACAUUUGUCAUAAAGGUUAAAUCACAGUAAGUACUGUAAAAAUAACUUGUUUGCCUUUGCCACAACAGGUCAUGGUGUGUGCAUACUGCUCGUAGUAAACACACGCUGAUCUGAUGCGGGAGAGAUAUAUGCAAACACAUUUGUAUUUACUGUUUUGUUUUGCCUCACUAAAGUGUUGUUGGAGCUUGGUAUGUUCACAGUUGAAAUCACUGAAGUCACAUGGAACGUUUUGACAAUGUGUUUUGUGCCUUAUCUUGACAAUGACCAUCUUGGGACCAUUGCUGUCUGUAUAGGAUGAGGCAUUUAAUCUAAAAUAUUUUAGUUUGUGUUCUGAAGAUUAACAAGUCUCUGGUAUGACACAAGUAAUUAAUAACAGAACCUA
ensembl:processed_transcript